UUUAAAAGCAAAAGUCAUAAUUCUUGCGUUUAAAAUAAAUGGCUCCUCAUUUAAACGGAACUUUUUUUUUCUCCUUAGUGCUAAUAGUCUCCCGUAAACAUCUACUGAGUGAGCAAAUUGUAUGAAAAGUAGACAAACAUGUAAAAACUGCUUUGGAAUACAGCCCAGGACAGCUCUCCGCCGGCGAGGCGCUCAGGGCUCGAACUUUGAAGAGGAAGAAGAAAAUACUUUUUCCUCCUGGCGACCGGUGAAGCUUUGCUCGAACUGUUAUAAGCUGUUCUGGCUGUGUCCCAGAAACAGGUCCUGAUCUUUAAACAGCUACGAGACGCUGAUUGAAGACUGAAGUCGGUGCUGGGUGCGAAUGUCACUGUAUUUUCGGGAAGAGCUUGGUGGGUGUGUCAGCACACGUGAUCCACACUGUUGUGAAAACACAAGGACCCAGGACAGAUUCCAGCACGUCUGCCACAACACAACGCCGGGCACCCUGUGGGCGGUGAGAAUUUAACAACAGAAUUAAAGAUAAAUGGGGAUAUUUUGCCAGGGCAGAAAAUCGGGUGUUGAAAACGUGCGUCUCCUGAAUCCGGGUUCUUGGUAAACCCAGCCCCCUCUUGCCGGCUCGGCCAAUCAGAGUGGUGGCGAGCGGCCAAUGAGAGCAGGUGAGUCAAUCCCCACUCCAGAGCGCGUCUGUCCGAGCGGCUCCACACCUGGACACCUGGGACACCGGCCCGGCUGCUCAGAGAUGGGCAUCUGGCUCUGCUGCAGAGGCCAGGAGCACACUGGGGCUGGCCCUGGGCGGGGCGGGUCCAGCGGGCCCCAGCUGCACUCGGGGGCACGGGAGCAGAGGGGGCGGCAGGCCGCUGCGCCCCAGACUCCGGGGCUCCCCCAGGACCACCGGGAGUUCCUGAAGGGCAUGUCCCUCAGCAUCCCAGGACCCCUUGUGGUGAUCGUCUGAGCCGAGCCGGGGCCUCGCCCUGGUCUGCCAGCGGGGGAGAGGGACGUGAGCGGAGUGCGGGGGUCCCCGGACCGAACCCCAGCCCGAUCCCUGGCCCCUCUGCCCAGCUAGCUGUCCUGCGUCACCCAGCAGGGGGCGAUACAGGCAUCAUCACACCCGUUUCUCAUGACAGGACGGCCACAACAGUGCUCACUAACCCUCCACCCCACCUUCCUUCAUCAGAGUAAACCUCCCACCCCUUCAAACCUGCCUGCUUCCACCCUGAAGCUGGAAUGAUGUUUGUCCUGCCCGCCUGUGAAGCCGAGACACACACGACUACGUUCCAGAGACGACACGACCCAGAAAUACUUUUGCUAUAAUUUUAUUGAUUGCAAAACAUUGAUACUUUAUAUAUAGAUAUGUACUUAAAUAUAAAAAAAUGUAACACUCUGUCAAUAAUAAUAAAAGGUAUGAAUCCAGUUGUACGAGACUGACCUGUUAACCCUCCCAAAACACAGAUCUGCUGGCUCACUGAAGCAUCACCGACUGCUGCACGACAAACGCCACCAAGACAAACCGAACUCGGUCCAAGGCGUUCACACUGCCGUUUCUGAUCAGGUCUCACUCCUGCUCUACUCCGGCGGUGUAAACGCUUCUCCGCUCGGGGAGGGUCCCGGUCAGGUCCAGCUACGGCCGGCGAGCUUGAUCUGGGCCUUCCGAAACCCUCACAGCACCCAUCGAGCGCUGGCGCACGCCGCGGUUACUGGGAAAACGUUCACGUGUUCGCUGGCAAGGAAUCGCUCCUCAUGGGUGGGGUGGAGCACGCAGGUCUGCCCCAGCUGGAGAAGCACAGCCCCCAGGGCGACUCCAGGUUAUCCAGCCCCAUCCUGGGCUGUCAGAGCAGCACCGCCGAGCAGGGCCGGACCUUUCCCAAACAGCCGAUCCGGGUCAGGGACGGCUGUGUGAGAGCACCAAGUAUCCCCACUCUUCCUCUCCCCUGCCUUGCUUUCCGUCUCCCUCCAUCCUCCUCCUCUGGCUGUCAGCUAUGAACUCUGGGCCAGAUUUAAACCUUGUGCUGAGCUCUGUCAGGGUCUAGGGUCUAUAAGAGGGCUUGUGUUCAUCUGUAAAGUUAUGGCUCUGGUCCGUUCUAGGAUCUAUAUUAAUUUAUUUUUAUUACAUCUCUCUAUGAUAUGUUGUAGGGCUUAAAUUAAUCUUUCAGUAUUAGGUGUGUCUCUAGGGUCUGUUUUAGGACCUAUCUUAAUUGCUCCAGGGAUUCUGCAUUAACCCCUGAGGAACCACAUCAAGCCAGAGGAGGUAACGGCUGAGGACCGGAGACACAAACAGAAGGAUGGAGGGAGGGAGACUCUAGAGAGCAUAGCUGACAGACUGGGAGAGCCAGGCAUGUGUAAACCUACAGUCCCUGCCCAGCACACAGGGCAGGGUUACAGUAAAGGGCACUUUACAGUAAAGGCAGUACAGUCUGGAGCAGGACUGCACUGACCAAACAGGACAUAACCUCUAAAAACAUUUAAAAAAAAACAAGGAGAUUCUUUUAAAAAAAAAAACAGACAUUUUACCUUUUUGGUCAAGAUCUUGAAAAACACUCCCCCCUCCCGCUUAAUAAUUCCGUUAAGAAAAACUCUCCUCCUCUUCUCUCACGCUAAACGGUUUCACCUUAACACUCCACAAGUCCUGUUUUUCUUCACAUCUUUUUAAAAAUACAUCCCCCCCACCUCUCUUUAAGCGAACCAAGGUCACUCGUCCUGUUCUUCACAAACGUCACUCUGUCACACCAGGGCAGCGUCAGGCCUCGUGACACAUUCCCAGCCCUGUGCCCGACCUCCACAGCCACCCCAGUCCUGCACAGCCCCAUACACCCCUCUCUCCCCUUAACAACUUCAUCCAGUAGUGGUUUUCCAGGGUUUAAUGCUCAGUAACAGGAAGCUCAGGUGCAAGGACUGGCUGUGCACGGACUUGUCUCACAUUUCCGGUCUGUCUGUAAGGAAUUGCGGUCUUCUAAAAAAGCCAAAUCAAAGUCUGAUCUAAAACUCCCCAGAGCAGCGAAAUUAAAAUCUAUACAAAUAUGUUGGGGCCCCUCUUGUCCAUCCACCCAUCGUACUAAAAGUGCAGUUUGUGGGGUCGCCCGUCCAGUGUGUGUCACUGACAGGGGGGGGCUGCCCAGCGUGUAGCGCACGGGCCCCUUUGAGUUUACCUCAUUCCCGUGUGCUCUCCCCAAAUCAGUCCGUCUCCCCGGAUCCCAGUUCCCAACACGUCCAUUAGUAGUUCAGGACCCGUUCAUUAAGAGUGCAGGACCAGUUCGUUCAUUAAUAACCAGAUCGUCAGUAGUCCAUGAGCACUUCACGAGCUGUUCAUUAGUAGUUCAUGACCUGUUCAUUAGUAGUUACCAACCAGACUGUUGGUCAUUCAUGACUUGUUCACCAGUAGUUGGUGACCUAUCCUUUAGUAGUUUCCAACCAGAUUGUUGCCAGUCCAUGGCCAGUACAUGCCCUGUCCAUGGCCUUCACAACCACCUGGUUAGUAGCUGGUGACCAGCUCUCCUGGCGGUGGGCCUGAGACCCUGAGGGCGAGAGCUGGCCUGGAGGAGCCUGUAGUGGGGAGAGCUGCCCACCAGCCCCAGAGAGGAGCGUGUGCACCUGUCCGGCCACCUGGGCCACACAGGGGAACAACAGCGAGACGGGCCUUGUGUCAGGCCUGCAGGGAGAAAUUAGACUUUUAAAAAAAACCAAAAACAAAGAGGGUUUGAUGCAACAUUGAAAAUUCACAGAUUGCCUCUUUGCCCCAAACCGAUACUUUGACCUCACCGAACACCUGAAGCUGGGGCUCUCCUGCUUGACCACCACUAUCGGAGCUUCGCAAACUCCGCUACAAUCACGGACUCCAGGCGCACAGCGGGCGGCUCCACAUCUGUUCUCAAAGGCAGACAGAAGAACGGGAAGACGACGUAAAAACCGCUAAACUAAAAGGCCCCCGGUGACGAUCAGCUGGUACCAGUCUUGGCUUCCCAUUGGCUGAUGAAACGGAGGCUAAGGCACUCUCUCAGUUUUCCACGCUGGAUCCAAAAACGUAAGCCUGUAGACAUCAGGGACCAUCUCCCAAAGAGCCAGCGUGGCUGAAAAACUGUAGGGAGAGAUGAAAGUCAAUUACUGACAAGGCAUUCACAGCAGCCCAGGGGGCGCUAACUGCGAUACGGUCUUUGGUACAGUUCUACAAUGGUGUGGGCGCAGGGAGAGCCUGGGUCAGCGGCUGGCGGCCGGGACACUGACCUCUCCCUCUCCCUCUCAGUCGGCCAGACUGUUGCCCAGCGACUGUCCCUCCUGCAGCGCGGCCAUGGCGAGUCUGAGGUGCUCCCGCAGGGUCUCGAUCUCCCGCUCACUGCGAGACUUCAUCCCACUCAGCUCCAUAUACACCUCCUUAUAGCGCUCACAGGCGGUCUUCUUCUCCUGAGAGAGAG
ensembl:lincRNA